rnacentral:rRNA from 1 species
ACUCCUACGGGAGGCAGCAGUGGGGAAUUUUGGACAAUGGGGGAACCCGUAGAUCCAGCCAUGCCGCGUGCAGGAUGAAGGCCUUCGGGUUGUAAACUGCUUUUGUACGGAACGAAAAGGUCCUUUCUAAUAAAGAGGGCUCAUGACGGUACCGUAAGAAUAAGCACCGGCUAACUACGUGCCAGCAGCCGCGGUAAUACGUAGGGUGCGAGCGUUAAUCGGAAUUACUGGGCGUAAAGCGUGCGCAGGCGGUUAUAUAAGACAGAUGUGAAAUCCCCGGCUCAAGCCUGGGAACUGGCAUUAGUGACUGUAUAGCUGGAGUGCGGCAGAGGGGAUGGAAUUCCGCGUGGUAGCAGUGAAAUGCGUAGAUAUGCGGAGG